UACGUAGGGUGCGAGCGUUGUCCGGAAUUAUUGGGCGUAAAGAGCUCGUAGGCGGUCUGUCGCGUCUGCUGUGAAAUCCCGAGGCUCAACCUCGGGCUUGCAGUGGGUACGGGCAGGCUAGAGUGCGGUAGGGGAGAAUGGAACUCCUGGUGUAGCGGUGGAAUGCGCAGAUAUCAGGAGGAACACCCGUGGCUAAGGCGGCUCUCUAGUACGGUACUGACGCUGAGACGCGAAAGCGUGGGGAGCGAACAGG
rnacentral:rRNA from 1 species